AUUGAACGCUGGCGGCAGGCCUAACACAUGCAAGUCGAACGAGUGGCGGACGGGUGAGUAAUGUCUGGGAAACUGCCUGGUGGAGGGGGAUCACUACUGAAAACGGUAGCUAAUACCGCAUACCAUCGGAUGUGCCCAGAGGGGUGUAGCUAGGAGGUGGGGUAACGGCGCACAUAGGCGACGAGCCCUAGCUGGUCUGAGAGGAUGACAAGCCACACGGGAACGGAGACACGGUCCAGACUCCUACGGGAGGCAGCAGUGGGGAAUAUUGCACAAUGGGCGCAAGCCUGAUGCAGCCAUGCCGCGUGUAUGAAGAAGGCCUUCGGGUGGUAAAGUACUUUCAGCGGGGGGGCGUUACUCGCAGAAGAAGCACCGGCUAACUCCGUGCCAGCAGCCGCGGUAAUAC
rnacentral:rRNA from 1 species